UCCUUCCGCCCCCCUCUGGCUCUGUCACCCUCGGAAAGCCCCCGGGGCCCCCGGGCGGCUGCGGGGAGACAGCCCCGAGGGUGAGAACUGGAGGAGAAGCGCCCCCGAGCAGGACGCGGCGCGCCCGCCGCUUGCCCGGCUGCUCCCGGCAACGGCUGGAUCUCGGCCCCGGCGCGGACUGGAUGGAAGGCGUCCAACCUGAUGAAAUACGGUGUCGAAGAAUGGCCUGUGUAGAACGAGUUCUGGGUACUUAAGUGGCAAGACCAAAGAGGACAGCGGGCUGCCUGCCACACCUCCGGACUUGGCCCCUUUCUGGCGGACUAGUGGCUCCCUUGGACGGAGAUGAACAUUACUGCAGCGCCCCCUGCUGCAUGGCAACCACAAGGCGUGGAAAGCCGGCCUGUGCAGAGCGGAUGGUGCCCCCACCCCCCACUUCCACCCGGACCAGGGGCGCAGCCACCAACAGAUAGGCUCUCCAAAACUUCAGCGAGAAAUUGAGCCCCUGGAUGUCUGGCAGUGACCUGAAACGCAAACACCGUGGUUUGGGUCUGUGAAACAAACCUCCGUCUUUUCCCAAUUUCACAAGGAAAUCCGUAUAGACACACACGAAAUGAUGAAUAUU